rnacentral:rRNA from 1 species
GUCUAUGACCAUACCACCCUGAACGUGCCCAAUCUCAUCUGAUCUUGGAAGCUCAGGGUCAUUCCUUGUUAGUACUUGGAUGGGAGUUCUGGAGGCUAAAAGUCCAAGAUC